rnacentral:lncRNA from 1 species
UAAUACACUUUCUCAGGAUUACACAUCUUCCAGAUAUUUCCAAAACCAUCUUCUUUUUUUGUCGGCCAAUUUUCUGAUUGAUGGUUAAAGCCAAAGAGCAAAGAGCUUAAUUACAAUUGGUAUCGGAAAUUAUAAAAUUCAGAAAGGCCCAUAAGAGUUAAAUAUACAUUAACUAGAUUACAGUGAAGCCCAAAUAAGAAGCAGUGUGUCUUGUACUUUUCUCCACGCGUUAAGCUUCCCGAGGCUUGUAUUGUAUCGAACAGUUCAGUUAAUAUCAUGGUCAAUGCUCUAUGUUAUGUUUUUAAAAUUCUAAUAAUCUAUUAAUUAUUUGUUUUUCAGUUGAGUUUAUUAGUUAUUCGUUGUCUUCUUUCAUUAAUCUUCCCGAGACACAUAGUUAACACCAUGUCCGUUCCACCUUUAAUGCACGUAAAGAAUGUGCUUCAAACCUUCAAGCCACAAUUUUUUUUGCCACAUUUAAGAAUAUAGUUGUGACUUGUGAACGUUGUGUUAGUAAAUUUAACCUGUAUUGUAUCGAACAGUUCAGUUAAUACUAGCAAGGUCAAUGCUCUAUGUUAUGUUUUUAAAAUUCUAAUAAUCUAUUAAUUA